rnacentral:rRNA from 1 species
AUUUAAAGAAAGCGUAAUAGCUCACUGGUCGAGUCGGCCUGCGCGGAAGAUGUAACGGGGCUAAACCAUGCACCGAAGCUGCGGCAGCGAACGUAUCACUUAAAGCGAUUCAGCGGGUUACGAUUGACGGAGCGAAGCGACGUCAAAGCGUAUACAAAGUCGAGUCGGUUUAAGGAUACGUUCGUUGGGUAGGGGAGCGUUCUGUAAGCCUGUGAAGGUGGCCUGUGAGGGUUGCUGGAGGUAUCAGAAGUGCGAAUGCUGACAUAAGUAACGAUAAAGCGGGUGAAAAGCCCGCUCGCCGGAAGACCAAGGGUUCCUGUCCAACGUUAAUCGGGGSACAGG